rnacentral:rRNA from 1 species
GACGAACCGUCCAAACGUUAUUCGGAAUCACUGGGCUUACAGAGUUCGUAGGCGGCUCUUUAAGUCGGGGGUGAAAUCCUGGAGCUCAACUCCAGAACUGCCUUCGAUACUGUAGAGCUUGAGUUCGGGAGAGGUGAGUGGAACUGCGAGUGUAGAGGUGAAAUUCGUAGAUAUUCGCAAGAACACCAGUGGCGAAGGCGGCUCACUGGCCCGAUACUGACGCUGAGGUGCGAAAGCGUGGGGAGCAAACAGG